AUGAACGCUAGCUACAGGCUUAACACAUGCAAGUCGAGGGGCAGCAUUUUAGUUUGCUUGCAAACUGAAGAUGGCGACCGGCGCACGGGUGAGUAACACGUAUCCAACCUGCCGAUAACUCCGGAAUAGCCUUUCGAAAGAAAGAUUAAUACCGGAUGGCAUACGAAUAUCGCAUGAUAUUUUUAUUAAAGAAUUUCGGUUAUCGAUGGGGAUGCGUUCCAUUAGUUUGUUGGCGGGGUAACGGCCCACCAAGACUACGAUGGAUAGGGGUUCUGAGAGGAAGGUCCCCCACAUUGGAACUGAGACACGGUCCAAACUCCUACGGGAGGCAGCAGUGAGGAAUAUUGGUCAAUGGGCGCGAGCCUGAACCAGCCAAGUAGCGUGAAGGAUGAAGGCUCUAUGGGUCGUAAACUUCUUUUAUAUGGGAAUAAAGUUUUCCACGUGUGGAAUUUUGUAUGUACCAUAUGAAUAAGGAUCGGCUAACUCCGUGCCAGCAGCCGCGGUAAUACGGAGGAUCCGAGCGUUAUCCGGAUUUAUUGGGUUUAAAGGGAGCGUAGGUGGAUUGUUAAGUCAGUUGUGAAAGUUUGCGGCUCAACCGUAAAAUUGCAGUUGAAACUGGCAGUCUUGAGUACAGUAGAGGUGGGCGGAAUUCGUGGUGUAGCGGUGAAAUGCUUAGAUAUCACGAAGAACUCCGAUUGCGAAGGCAGCUCACUAGACUGUCACUGACGCUGAUGCUCGAAAGUGUGGGUAUCAAACAGGAUUAGAUACCCUGGUAGUCCACACAGUAAACGAUGAAUACUCGCUGUUUGCGAUAUACAGUAAGCGGCCAAGCGAAAGCAUUAAGUAUUCCACCUGGGGAGUACGCCGGCAACGGUGAAACUCAAAGGAAUUGACGGGGGCCCGCACAAGCGGAGGAACAUGUGGUUUAAUUCGAUGAUACGCGAGGAACCUUACCCGGGCUUAAAUUGCAACAGAAUAUAUUGUAAACAAUAUAGCCGUAAGGCUGUUGUGAAGGUGCUGCAUGGUUGUCGUCAGCUCGUGCCGUGAGGUGUCGGCUUAAGUGCCAUAACGAGCGCAACCCUUAUCUUUAGUUACUAACAGGUUAUGCUGAGGACUCUAGAGAGACUGCCGUCGUAAGAUGUGAGGAAGGUGGGGAUGACGUCAAAUCAGCACGGCCCUUACGUCCGGGGCUACACACGUGUUACAAUGGGGGGUACAGAAGGCGGCUACCUGGUGACAGGAUGCUAAUCCCAAAAACCUCUCUCAGUUCGGAUCGAAGUCUGCAACCCGACUUCGUGAAGCUGGAUUCGCUAGUAAUCGCGCAUCAGCCAUGGCGCGGUGAAUACGUUCCCGGGCCUUGUACACACCGCCCGUCAAGCCAUGAAAGCCGGGGGUACCUGAAGUACGUAACCGCAAGGAGCGUCCUAGGGUAAAACUGGUAAUUGGGGCU
rnacentral:rRNA from 1 species